rnacentral:lncRNA from 1 species
GAUGGCUGAGGAAGAGCAAAAUUUCAACUUGACAAUCACAGAUGACUGCUGAAGCAGAUACAACCACUGAGGCAAAAAUCUGAUUGCAAGGAACCUGAACUCCCUGACUUGAACACCUGCAAAGGACAGGGAUUAGGGCCCUUAGGUACACUACUCUGCACCCAGGAGUUACAAAUCACUAACACUCUGAACUGUGACUUUUCUGGCGUCCCAUUCAGAUGAUUUUUAUGAUGUAUGUGGUUUUUAUUUGCUCUGUGGGCUUGCACAAGCCAUCCUAAGACCUUCAUGGUAAAAUUUCAAUCCUGUCUCAAAUUGACAGUUUAAACCCUUAAUAAAGCCUUAUAUUUUAAAGCACACAUACACACACACACAUACAUGUCAGGCCUCUGAACCCAAGCCAAGCCAUCGCAUCCCCUGUGACUUGCAUGUAUAUGCCCAGAUGGCCUGAAGUAACUGAAGAAUCACAAAAGAAGUGAAAACGCCCUGCCCCGCCUUAACUGAUGACAUUCCACCAUUGUGAUUUGUUCCUGCCCCACCUUAGCUGAGUGAUUAACCCUGUGAAUUUCCUUCUCCUGGCUCAGAAGCUCCCCGACUGAGCACCUUGUGACCCCCGCCCCUGCCCACCAGAGAACAACCCCCUUUGACUGUAAUUUUCCAUUACCUUCCCAAAUCCUAUAAAACGGCCCCACCCCUAUCUCCCUUCGCUGACUCUCUUUUCGGACUCAGCCCGCCUGCACCCAGGUGAAAUAGACAGCCAUGUUGCUCACACAAAGCCUGUUUGCUGGUCUCUUCACACUGACUCGAGUGAAAUUUGGUGCCGUGACUAGGAUCGGGGGACCUCCCUUGGGAGAUCAAUCCCCCGUCCUCCUACACUUUGCUCUGUGAGAAAGAUCCACCUACAACCUCAGGUCCUCAGACCAACCAGCCCAAGAAACAUCUCACCAAUUUCAAAUCCGUGAUAGAUCACAACAAGAGAUCAUGAAGAGGGCAUGGCCGCCAUGUCAUUCUGGAGAGAGACAGAGUAAAACAAAGAAGGUGAUGGGUAAAGCGCAGUCGCCUGCUAUAUAUUGUCUAUUUUUGGUUUUUCACUUACCUUUUAUAUUUAUGCCUUUUAUGUACAACAGGAUUAUAAGCAGCUUGAGUCCAGUGAAUAUACCAUUUCAUUUUGCUAUCCUUCACUGCACUUAGCUUAGAGGAAAUAAUCACAGCUUAUUAUUGAUUAAUUAAUUAAUAGAUGAAUGGUGAACAGAUGAUUAUCAUCCCAAGAAAUGGGAUUUUUUUAAUUCUGGGCAACUAGGAAAGUUUUUAGCUACAGAGAAAUAUUGACAUGGGCAACAACUUCAUCUUACAGCAAAAAGUCCUUUUUUUUUUUUUUUUUUUCUUUUUGGAGACAGAGUCUUGUUCUGCAACCCAGGCUGGAGUGGAGGGCAGUGGUGUGAUCUCGGCUCACUUCAACCUCCGCCUCUUAGGUUCAAGUGAUUCUCCUGCCUCAGCCUCCCGAGUAGCUGGGACUACAGCAGCCUCUCUACAAGUCUCCUAACUUAACCUGAUGGGAAAACACUUCCUACCACUAACAGCAUCUACUUGAUUACUGAUACUUUGAUCAUGGAGUUUGGGCAUGCCACUUGAUAGAAAUUUGAAGAGCAAUUAUAUUUUUCAAAAAGAGUUUUGAAUAAUGUUAAGAUAGAUUGCAACAUGACUAUCAAUUCUUCCCUUCCCAUCAAAGGAGAGAGUCCGUUUAUCCAGCCUUUGAAUCUUGAUUAUUCAUGUGACUUGCUUCACCCAAUGUAACAUUAAUAAGCACAAUACAAGCAGAGGCUUGCCAAGAACUUGGUUUGUUUCUAAUGCUUAGAAGAAGAAUGGUGUAUGCCAUAUUUCUGCAUUUAGAACUCACGUGGAGACAUGUGUGGCCCAAUUGCUUCUCUUUCAUCUCAGGCAAUAACCAGACACGGGACUGAGGCCAUCCAUGACCAGCCAGCCCUAGCCAACACACAACACACAAGCUGAUCACAGAUGCAUGAGUAAGCCUGAGACCAGCCAAGACCAGCCUAGAAUAGAACUGCUCAGCAGCAAUAAAAACUAAAUAAAUUGUUACCUUAAGCUACUUUUAGAGCUAUUUGGAAGUGUAUUUUUGUGCAGCUAACAUUUACUAGCAGAUAAAAUGGUGAUUGUUUAUCUCUGUUUUAUUGAUGUUUUAAGGAAAUUGUUUCUAUUAAAAGGAAAUAUCUGGUCUUUGUCACGUUAAAUCAGGUUUAGCCUGAAGUUGUCUCCUUAAAUUUGCGGCACAACUCCCACCCUGCAAUACUUCAAAUUGUUUCACCUUUUUUGACAGAACCAAGGUAUAUCUUAAAUGUACUUGAUUGAUGUCUCAUGUCUCCCUAAAAUGUAUAAAACCAAACUGUGCUCUGACUACCUUGGGUACAUGUUCUGAGGGUCUCCUGAAGGCUGUGUCACAGGCCAUGGUCUUUCAUAUUUGGCUUAAAACAAAUCUCUUCAAAUAUUUUAUGUAGUUUGACUCUUUUCCUCAAUAGAACUCAUCAUUUAACCAGUUAAGUAUUUUGAGUUAGUUUGGGAUUAAACACGAGAGUUUUGACAGGGAGCUGAAACAAUAGUAGUUUCAUCAAAAGUUGAUUCUUGGUGCAUGUAAUUUUCUAUUACAGUGAACACAGAUAAUAAUGAUGCAUAUGUCUUUACCUAGAUUAGAGAAAGGAAGAGAAAAAAUAAAAAUUUUGGAAAUGAGAUAAAAAGAUAUUGAUCUCACUGAUGUUUCUGAAUCUAAGACUGAACUCAAUUAUUAGUUGUAUUUACUGCUUAUUAGAUUUACUAAGAAAGUUCUUUAAGGUACUUACAGCCCUAAAAUUAUUUGCAAUAUUCAAUAGCAAGGGACUUAAAUACAGUCCUGAUUACUCCAUCACAAAAUGCCAAAAACAAUUAGGAUCUUAAAGGAACUACCCAAAUAGGUUUAAGAUAUCACUCAGGCCAUAAAAAUGUUUUUAAAAUUCACAUCACAAAAUAGCCAAAUGACAUAUCAGAAACAAAAGCAAAAAAGUCAUCCUAAUUCAAGGCAAUUACUUUAGCAAUUCAAAAUAAAAUGUUAAAAGUGACCAAAAAACAAAUGCAAAAUAUUUUAAUGACUUUAAAUGGCUGUAUAAUUUCCUCAUCACUUCACUUGGCAGAGUUAAGAUGGCAUUUAACCUAAGUUCACAUCAUUAAAAAAAACACUGCACCAUGAUGCUUUUCUUAAUAUGCAUUCUCAAAUUAGCAUACAGAGAAAAAUGAAACUAUAGUAGAGACGUAAAUUUAAUCCCUAUUUAGGUCACUAGGCAUUUAUUAGCCCCACCACAGGUUAAUACACUUGCAUUUGCAUCUGUUUCUAAAUGCUAAUUAUCUGACCUCAGAACACUCACUUAUGGGCUUCAUUUAUUGAAAAACAAAUCCCUAUGAUUUGAUCGUAGAGUAACUUUUAAUGUCUAACUUUACGUAGUAUAUUACAGUUUUCAAAACAUUUUUAUAAAAAGUAUUUUGUUUAUUUACAGCAACUAUAUAUCAUAGAUAUUAAUGUGUAUAUUUUGCAUUUAAGCAAGUUGGAGUUCGUAAGGUUGAAUUACUUGAAAUGUACAAAUAGAUAGUAGUGAAUAUUUAAAGUACAUUUUUAAAAAUAUGACCCAGAAAAAUAGGUGGCAUUUAAGAAAUAUAAGCAUGGUAUCUAUCUUACAUGUAUAUUAGGAGUGGACAGUUUUCUAAGAUUAGAAGCAAACAGUUGUCAAGCAAGGGUUCUAAUUUUUGUAAGUCUUGUGGGAAAGAAAGAUAAUAGAGGGUUUCAUUGCAAAGAUAUAAAACUACUCUAGAUAAUUUAAGCAAAAACUAAUCUAAUAAAUUGGGUUUUCCAAAUUAUUGAAACACCUUGAGAACUAGUGCCUGGGUAGGCCUGGAGAAAUGACUCCAGGAACAGCAUUACAGAACUCACCUGCCCAGUGGUAACAGUGCCCAGAUUGCUCUUCUCCAUUAUCCAGCCAGAGUUCCAGAUCAGCCUGAAUACUUCACCUCUGGGAAGACUUUGCAGAACCUCCAGAUUUAUGCCACCUCUAUAACCUGUGUAAUAUUAUUACAAUGCAUAUUAUGUUCUAUUUCACUUACAGUCAGCCCUCCUUAUCUGUGGGUUCCACAAACAUGGAUUCAACCCACAGUAAAAUGAAAAUAUUUGGGGAAAAAAUUAAUGUUUGAGUCUGUAUUGAACACGUAGACUUUUUCUUGUCACUGUUCCCUAAACAAUACAGUAUAACAACUAUUUACAUAGUAUUUACAUUAUAUUGGGCAUUAUAAGUAAUUAAAGAUGAUUUAAGUAUAUGGAAAGAUGUAUAUAGGUUAUAUGCAAGUACUGUGCCAUUUUAUAUAAAGCACUUGAACAUCACAGAUUUUGGUAUCAAUGAGGGGUGCUGAAACCAAUUGCCCAUGGAUACCAAGAGACAGCUAUAUUUGUUUCAAUGUGUACCUCUCCUUCUAAACUCAGUUCUUAAGCAUAUAGUAUCUUUAUAGCUAUACACCUAGUGUCUAUCAGACCCUAAACUAUGGUAGGCCCUCAAUACAUUUUAUUGUUAUAGGUAGAUAGAUAGGCAUGAGUAGGGCAGGAGAGGGCUCUCCCUCCACCCACUAGAAAUGUCAAGUGAUGUUUUAAAAAUUGUCACACUGCCUCUCAGAAAAUGAUAAUUCAGCAACCGGGGAGAGACAAUCUUCUGAUGGUCCACACCUAUUAACAUUAAAGUGUUAUUAAAGGCAGACCCCAGAAAGAAGAAACUUACUGGGCAUGCACAUUAAGAGAUAAAAACGGCAAAAUAUUAUCUUCCACGUACCCACAACUGGAAAAAAGGAAGAAAGCUUCAGUGAGAAAUUCCUAAAAAGAUAAGCAGCAUGACAAAGAAGACAAAGGGAAGAUGCCAGACAACCUGGAAAUUGGAUAAUGGAGACCCAGGGAGGGUAUAAAAGAGAAACUACUUUGUAAUAAUUUAUAUUGAUUAUUCCUUUCAAUAGAUUUUGUGGAGUAGUUCAAUAUUCCCAUAAUCCAUUCUUUGUCACCUGAAGGAAAGGUGAAUGAGAUAGCUCAGAAGUUCCAUAACAAGGCAGUGGCAGGUUUGAGACCAUUGCUUUGUGUUUCUUAAUUUACCUGCCUUUUGUGUGUAUGAUGAGGAUUCCUGCCCUCUUAGCCACUAGUAAAAAAAAGAGAUAAAAAGUAUCAAGGUUUUUUUUUACUAUCAAAUUUUCUUUUUUAACUUGGCCAUCUCUGUCACCAAAUACAUUCUUACACAGAUAUAGUCUUAAAAUUUGUACAUAGUACAAAGCUAUCCACAAUAUUUGUGUUGAAUACAACACAUGUAUAUACAAGCAAGAAACUAACAUGAAUAACAAGUGAUGAGCUAAAGAUUCAUUCUCAAUUAGCCUUUUGUUUUUAUAAAGGGUGUGUGGCUGUUUUUCAUGUCAGUGAUCGUUGGUGUGAAACCAAUAUAGAGUCAGGAGAACAUACUCAUUGUAAUCAUACAUAAUUUAGGACUAGAUGAUGCUUUUUCAACUUCAUUGUGUAUAAAAUAGAUUUAAUUAUGUUGAAGAUGAUGUACAGAAAUGAGUUACUUAGUUACUGAAUGAACUAGCCAAAAUUUCAGCAUUCAUAUCUCAUCAACUGUUGCUAUUUAUCAUUCAAACCUUUAGUAACUCUCAGGAAUCUGAACUUUACUGACUUAUGUGAGAAAUGCACAAGCCACAGAAGUAUUCACAAAUUUAGAAAUCUACUAAGCUCUCAGAAUAUGUAUUUGCAAGAUAAGGUGAACUUUUAUCCCCUGGGACAAACCUGUGUUACACUGAUUGACUCAGCAUUAUAAUUAGUAGUGCCCUUUCACUAUUGAUAUGCUCUUUAUUAGAUGAUGGAUUAAAUGGCUUUCUGGGUCAUUGAUUACAAGAUUCUAUCUUAUAACCAUAUUUUAAUAUUAAAUAUUUAUCAAGAUGUUCAUGUACUAUAUCAGCAAAAAAUUACUAAAUGUAUAUAAGGUGGUUUUGACCUUGCCACUCAAUUAUUUACUAAAAGACUAAGAUGCUCUCUCAAGUAAAUACCUCGCUUUGGUAAAGUUCCAUUACUAAAACUCUCAAGUAUCUGAACUUUUCAUUAUGCUUCCCUAUACUUCUUUUUCAAUCCAGUUUGUCAGUGCCUGUUCAUAGCCUAAUAGAGCAGUUCUCACAGUAUUAGGGGUCAUCAACACUCUGUCAGUGCGUACACGACUAUUUUUAAAAUAAACUAAAAUGCUGUUUGUCUUUUUCACUCUUAUUCUCUAAUGAGUGUCUGGUACAGUUUUCCAGAGGUUACAUGAUGUGUGAUGAUAUCAUCACUCUGAUAGCUAAUGGAAAGUAUGACUGUAUAUUCUGUAAUGUUCCAGGAGUUUCUGAGGUUUAGGUUUAGGUUAUAAAAGGGGGCAUAUGUUCAGAGAUUAACUCAAUUUUUUCUCAGUACUUCUAUUGUGUUUUUACUAAGUACCUUUUCUUAUAUUUGCUAUAAUCUGUAUAAACUUAUUGUCAUACAAUAAAUCAAUAUUUUAAAAUCCCAAUGAUUUCUUUAUGACUACACAAAAACAAGUAGUAAUC